AAAGGCCGCAGUAUUUUGACUGUGCUAAGGUAGCAUAGUAAUUAGGUUUUUAAUUGAAAUCUUGAAUGAAUGGUUUAAUGAAAUAUAAGCUUUUUUAUUUUUAUAAAUUGAAUUUUAUUUAUUAGUGAGAAAGCUAAUAUUUUAUAAUGGGACGAGAAGACCCUAUAGAAUUUUAUAAUUUUUAAAAAUAAUUAAUAAAAAAAAUUAUUUAUUAUUUUAUAUUUAUUUUAUUGGGGAGAUAUUUAAAUUUAUUUAACUUUAAUUUUUAUUUCAUUUAUAAAUGUUUUAUUGAUCUUUUAUUAUAGAUUAUAAAAAUAAAUUACCUUAGGGAUAACAGCAUAAUUUUUUUAAUAAGUUCUUAUUUUUAAAAUGUUUUAUGACCUCGAUGUUGGAUUAAAAUAAUUUUUGUAUGAAGAUAUAUAAUUAAUAAGUCUGUUCGACUUUUAAAUUUUUACAUGAUCUGAGUUCAAACCGGUGUGAGCCAGGUCGGUUUCUAUCU
rnacentral:rRNA from 1 species